rnacentral:rRNA from 1 species
GAUAAACGCUGGCGGCGUGCUUAACACAUGCAAGUCGAACGAAGUUUUUCCUUCGGGAGAAACUUAGUGGCGGACGGGUGCGUAACGCGUGGGUAACCUGCCCUGUACAGGGGGACAACAGCUGUAAACGGCUGCUAAUACCGCAUAAGCCCUUAGCACUGCAUGGUGCAUAGGGAAAAGGAGCAAUCCGGUACAGGAUGGACCCGCGUCUGAUUAGCCAGUUGGCAGGGUAACGGCCUACCAAAGCGACGAUCAGUAGCCGAUCUGAGAGGAUGUACGGCCACAUUGGGACUGAGACACGGCCCAGACUCCUACGGGAGGCAGCAGUGGGGAAUAUUGCACAAUGGAGGAAACUCUGAUGCAGCGACGCCGCGUGAGUGAAGAAGUAUUUCGGUAUGUAAAGCUCUAUCAGCAGGGAAGAAAAUGACGGUACCUGACUAAGAAGCACCGGCUAAAUACGUG